rnacentral:lncRNA from 1 species
CAAUACCAAUAUCUAUUUCUACUAAAUCAUCAGCCAAUAUGAACCUCUAUCCUAUCUUUCCAUCAUCGUUGAAUCUAUCCAUUAAUGCUCUUUAUCAGAACCAACUGCUUGGAUCAGUGGAAUUUCAUAAUCGGCAACUCUGAGGAAAUCUUUCUCCUAGGCCUGUCCUGAUAUGCACUUGGUUCACUCAUAAGUAUCUAACUCUGCAGAUGCAAUAAUGUAAUAAGAAUCGCCAGGAACAACCUCAAUCUUAUCUCCAACACACUAAACAAGGCAUUGAUGCACC